GAAGAAGAGUCUUUCUUCUUAUAUGCUGAUUUUUAGAGAGGAAAGGUUCCUCUUGGAUGCGUGAGAAAAGAUGAAAGAAAGGAUUCUCUCAUGCGUGGAAGAAAAGAGAAGAAAGAGUUUUUCUUUAGAUUUCUAGCGUAGAGAUUUUUAUCCUCCUAUUCUUCUUCUUCUCUAAGAGUGUCUUGAGAGAAAAGAAGAAUUCUAUACACUAUUAAGAUAUGAUAUUUGUAAGG
rnacentral:lncRNA from 1 species